rnacentral:rRNA from 1 species
GAUGAACGCUGGCGGCGUGCCUAAUACAUGCAAGUCGAGCGAACAGACGAGGAGCUUGCUCCUCGGACGUUAGCGGCGGACGGGUGAGUAACACGUGUAUAACCUACCUAUAAGACUGGGAUAACUUCGGGAAACCGGAGCUAAUACCGUAUAAUAUAUUGAACCGCAUGGUUCAAUAGUGAAAGACGGUUUUGCUGUCACUUAUAGAUGGAUCUGCGCCGCAUUAGCUAGUUGUGAAGUUAACGGCUUACCAAGGCAACGAUGCGUAGCCGACCUGAGAGGGUGAUAGGCCACACUGGAACGGAGACACGGUCAAGACGCCUACGGGAGGGAGCAGUAGGGAAUCUUCCGCAAUGGGCGAAAGCCUGACGGAGCAACGCCGCGUGAGUGACGAAGGUCUUCGGAUCGUAAAACUCUGUUAUUAGGGAAGAACAAAUGUGUAAGUAACUAUGCACGUCUUGACGGUACCUAAUAAGAAAGCAACGGCUAACUACGUG